rnacentral:rRNA from 1 species
AAUGAACGCUGGCGGCAUGCCUUACACAUGCAAGUCGAACGGCAGCAUGACCUUGCUUGCUCGGUUGAUGGCGAGUGGCGAACGGGUGAGUAAUGCAUCGGAACGUGCCUUUUAGUGGGGGAUAACGUAGCGAAAGUUACCCUAAUACCGCAUAUUCUCUGAGGAGGAAAGCAGGGGACCUUCGGGCCUUGCGCUAGAAGAGCGGCCGAUGUCGGAUUAGCUAGUUGGUGAGGUAAAGGCUCACCAAGGCAACGAUCCGUAGCGGGUCUGAGAGGAUGAUCCGCCACACUGGGACUGAGACACGGCCCAGACUCCUACGGGAGGCAGCAGUGGGGAAUUUUGGAAGCUGGGCGCAAGCCUGAUCCAGCCAUGCCGCGUGAGUGAAGAAGGCCUUCGGGUUGUAAAGCUCUUUCGGCGGGGAAGAAAUCGCACCCUAUAAGACAGGGUGUGGAUGACGGUACCAGCAUAAGAAGCACCGGCUAACUACGUG